ACCGGGGGAACUGAAACAUCUAAGUACCCCGAGGAAAAGAAAUCAACCGAGAUUCCCCCAGUAGCGGCGAGCGAACGGGGAGGAGCCCAGAGCCUGAAUCAGUGUGUGUGUUAGUGGAAGCGUCUGGAAAGGCGCGCGAUACAGGGUGACAGCCCCGUACACAAAAAUGCACAUACUGUGAGCUCGAUGAGUAGGGCGGGACACGUGGUAUCCUGUCUGAAUAUGGGGGGACCAUCCUCCAAGGCUAAAUACUCCUGACUGACCGAUAGUGAACCAGUACCGUGAGGGAAAGGCGAAAAGAACCCCGGCGAGGGGAGUGAAAAAGAACCUGAAACCGUGUACGUACAAGCAGUGGGAGCCUCUUAAUGGGGUGACUGCGUACCUUUUGUAUAAUGGGUCAGCGACUUAUAUUCUGUAGCAAGGUUAACCGAAUAGGGGAGCCGAAGGGAAACCGAGUCUUAACUGGGCGUUAAGUUGCAGGGUAUAGACCCGAAACCCGGUGAUCUAGCUAUGGGCAGGUUGAAGGUUGGGUAACACUAACUGGAGGACCGAACCGACUAAUGUUGAAAAAUUAGCGGAUGACUUGUGGCUGGGGGUGAAAGGCCAAUCAAACCGGGAGAUAGCUGGUUCUCCCCGAAAGCUAUUUAGGUAGCGCCUCGUGAAUUCAUCUCCGGGGGUAGAGCACUGUUUCGGCAAGGGGGUCAUCCCGACUUACCAACCCGAUGCAAACUGCGAAUACCGGAGAAUGUUAUCACGGGAGACACACGGCGGGUGCUAACGUCCGUCGUGAAGAGGGAAACAACCCAGACCGCCAGCUAAGGUCCCAAAGUCAUGGUUAAGUGGGAAACGAUGUGGGAAGGCCCAGACAGCCAGGAUGUUGGCUUAGAAGCAGCCAUCAUUUAAAGAAAGCGUAAUAGCUCACUGGUCGAGUCGGCCUGCGCGGAAGAUGUAACGGGGCUAAACCAUGCACCGAAGCUGCGGCAGCGACGCUUAUGCGUUGUUGGGUAGGGGAGCGUUCUGUAAGCCUGUGAAGGUGGCCUGUGAGGGUUGCUGGAGGUAUCAGAAGUGCGAAUGCUGACAUAAGUAACGAUAAAGCGGGUGAAAAGCCCGCUCGCCGGAAGACCAAGGGUUCCUGUCCAACGUUAAUCGGGGCAGGGUGAGUCGACCCCUAAGGCGAGGCCGAAAGGCGUAGUCGAUGGGAAACAGGUUAAUAUUCCUGUACUUGGUGUUACUGCGAAGGGGGGACGGAGAAGGCUAUGUUGGCCGGGCGACGGUUGUCCCGGUUUAAGCGUGUAGGCUGGUUUUCCAGGCAAAUCCGGAAAAUCAAGGCUGAGGCGUGAUGACGAGGCACUACGGUGCUGAAGCGACAAAUGCCCUGCUUCCAGGAAAAGCCUCUAAGCAUCAGGUAACAUUAAAUCGUACCCCAAACCGACACAGGUGGUCAGGUAGAGAAUACCAAGGCGCUUGAGAGAACUCGGGUGAAGGAACUAGGCAAAAUGGUGCCGUAACUUCGGGAGAAGGCACGCUGAUAUGUAGGUGAAGCGACUUGCUCGUGGAGCUGAAAUCAGUCGAAGAUACCAGCUGGCUGCAACUGUUUAUUAAAAACACAGCACUGUGCAAACACGAAAGUGGACGUAUACGGUGUGACGCCUGCCCGGUGCCGGAAGGUUAAUUGAUGGGGUUAGCGGUAACGCGAAGCUCUUGAUCGAAGCCCCGGUAAACGGCGGCCGUAACUAUAACGGUCCUAAGGUAGCGAAAUUCCUUGUCGGGUAAGUUCCGACCUGCACGAAUGGCGUAAUGAUGGCCAGGCUGUCUCCACCCGAGACUCAGUGAAAUUGAACUCGCUGUGAAGAUGCAGUGUACCCGCGGCAAGACGGAAAGACCCCGUGAACCUUUACUAUAGCUUGACACUGAACAUUGAGCCUUGAUGUGUAGGAUAGGUGGGAGGCUUUGAAGUGUGGACGCCAGUCUGCAUGGAGCCGACCUUGAAAUACCACCCUUUAAUGUUUGAUGUUCUAACGUGGGCCCCUUACCGGGGUUGCGGACAGUGUCUGGUGGGUAGUUUGACUGGGGCGGUCUCCUCCUAAAGAGUAACGGAGGAGCACGAAGGUUGGCUAAUCCUGGUCGGACAUCAGGAGGUUAGUGCAAUGGCAUAAGCCAGCUUGACUGCGAGCGUGACGGCGCGAGCAGGUGCGAAAGCAGGUCAUAGUGAUCCGGU
rnacentral:rRNA from 1 species